CCCUAGCCUUACCCCCUUGGAAGUCACUGUAGUAUCCUUGUGUGUAGUGCUGAUUAGUCAAUUUGGGUCUGGUCCCUUUUUUGAAGUGGGUUUCCUGUAUCAUUACUAUAGAGGCCCUCUGUUUGUGGAAGUCUCUCAAUGCUCCUGAUCUCUUCUCUGGUUUAUUUAGGCCUUUUGCAUUGAUUGUAAGGAUGUGUAAGUGGUCUGGGGUCAGUGUCAUCCCGUCAAGUCAGGUUGUUGUCGACGGGUGUUGUGAAAAUGUCUUUGUCUUAUGUUCCUUUGGUGUGUGUAGUCUCAGGAGGUCUCACAGUCAGCUGUCGGUGUCGGGUUGGGGAGUCAAGUGUUGGGGUUUAGGUAAGGAUUAAGGGGUUGAGGUAUUGGAGUAGUCUGGGAGGUACCCAGAGAUCUCCGUGGUUUGGGUCACAGUGCGUGACGACUAGGUAGUAGCGUCGGGGAGCGUCAGUGCACGGCACCACCUGUGGUGUCCGUGUGAUGCUCACCUUUCGGGUGACGCCUCGCCUGCUGGGCAGUGGUUGGGCGUCCAGGCGCC